UGAUAUUAGUGUAAUGACGUUAUAUCAUGCAGUUGAAAAAGUAUAGCACCAUUAUAGUGGAAUAAUGCAAUACAGUGUGUAGUAUAUAGACAGGGUAGUGGUAGCAAAUGUAAGUUGUAGUGGUGGCGGUGGCGGUGGUGGUGGUGGGGACGGCGGCGGCGGCGACGGCAGGAGCGAGGUGUGGCUGCGGUCAGUGGACAGGUAGUGCACGCCUGUAGCGUUAAGGUAUUUAUGCAGAGUAGUCCUUUGGGGGCUCCUUCCCCCCCCCCCCCACACUCCUCUUUCCCCGUCACCUGCACAGUUCCUUCCAGAGAAAAAGUACUUCCUGGGUCACUUUAUUGCCUCCUAACUUUCUUGAUAUUAGAUAGUUGGAGGGGAGGGGGCAGGUAGGGACCAAUAAAAGAAGUUCUGAUGUCAUUUUUGACCUCUUGAAAACUUGCAAAAUUUGCAGUACAGGGUACAAGGAUAAAACAAAACUCUAAAAGGGUAAAAAAAAAAAAAAGAUAAACUUCGCUGCUCCAUAAAAUAAGGAGCAUAAGAUCCUAAAAGACAAUAAUCAAAUUUAGUACCGAAAGUUUCUUCUUGAAAUAUCCCUCCGACUAGACCGCUGAAACGUUCGUGACCUUGAGCAGGUGAGCCAAGCACGGUGGUGGCAGAGUGGUGGUCAUGCGCUGAUCUCGAGUAGGUGAGCCAAGCACGGUGGUGGCAGAGUGGUGGUCAUGCGCUGAUCUCGAGUAGGUGAGCCAAGCACGGUGGUGGCAGAGUGGUGGUCAUGCGCUGAUCUCGAGUAGGUGAGCCAAGCACGGUGGUGGCAGAGUGGUGGUCAUGCGCUGAUCUCGAGUAGGUGAGCCAAGCACGGUGGUGGCAGAGUGAUGGUCAUGCGCUGAUCUCGAGUAGGUGAGCCAAGCACGGUGGUGGCAGAGUGAUGGUCAUGCGCUGAUCUCGAGUAGGUGAGCCAAGCACGGUGGUGGCAGAGUGAUGGUCAUGCGCUGAUCUCGAGUAGGUGAGCCAAGCACGGUGGUGGCAGAGUGAUGGUCAUGCGCUGGUGCUGAAGCGGCUCAGGAAGCUGUCGCCCACGGCCUUGUCACCACGCCAGCCGCCGCCACCAUGUCAGGCCAAUGCUAAAUACUGCUCAGCGGUCUUGUCUACCUCUCCCAAGCAUGCUGCAGGCACAACAUUUUAUCCAUAUAAAUAUUUAUUACCAACCACGUUAGCAAAUACUGGUAUUGUUUAAAGUUAGGUGUGGGAAAAUUUAUCGAUGAAUUCGAGUUUGGAGCGAGAAAGAAAAAUGGAGAAGGUUGG